rnacentral:rRNA from 1 species
UACGUAGGGGGCUAGCGUUGUCCGGAUUUAUUGGGCGUAAAGAGCGUGUAGGCGGCCAGGUAGGUCUGCUGUGAAAACUCGAGGCUCAACCUCGAGACGUCGGCGGAAACCAUCUGGCUAGAGUCCGGAAGAGGAGAGUGGAAUUCCUGGUGUAGCGGUGAAAUGCGCAGAUAUCAGGAGGAACACCUAUUGCGAAGGCAGCUCUCUGGGACGGUACUGACGCUGAGACGCGAAAGCGUGGGGAGCGAACAGG